rnacentral:hammerhead_ribozyme from 1 species
AUCCAGCUGACAAGUCCCAUAUAGGACUUAACGCAUUUCCUGGAU